rnacentral:rRNA from 1 species
AUGCCUGCCUCUGUUGUGGCUCAACUUAUUGCUGAUGGGGAGGAUGUUUCUGCUCAUGUUGUUGUGCUAGUUGGAGUGAUAUCAGAACAGGGACAUAGGGCUUACUUUGCACUAGAUUCAGCAGGAACAGCCUUUUGCAGGCAGGUGGGAAGUGCUGAAGGGUGGCGAUCUUUGUUCAACUGGAACAAAAAGAGUCAACUCGGAGGAUAUGGAAAAAUCACCGCCGAUAGUGCUUGCUUCACUAAUUUCUUCAAGGUUUCUAGACAGAAUGAUCAUGGGCUGCCUCCUAAACUCUUUGGUAUGAAUUUCUUCUCUUAA